rnacentral:rRNA from 1 species
UACGGAGGGUGCAAGCGUUAUCCGGAUUCACUGGGCGUAAAGGGUGCGAGUGAUCGGGCGGUCGGUAUAUGUGAAAUCUCCAAGCUCAACUUGGAAAUGGCAUCGGAUACUAUUCGGCUCGAGGAAUGGAGGGGAGACUGGAAUACUUGGUGUAGCAGUGAAAUGCGUAGAUAUCAAGUGGAACACCAGUGGCGAAGGCGAGUCUCUGGACAUUUCCUGACGCUGAGGCACGAAAGCCAGGGGAGCAAACGGG